rnacentral:sRNA from 1 species
UAACCAAGUUUCAUUCAGCAAGCACACA